AAGACUUUGAGGCCAGCUGGUGUGGCAGGAUAAUCCAGAGUCCUAGUUUCCUGGUUCUCAGGUUCCAGCCCACUGCUGCUGUAGCAUGUGCCUGGGCAGAAUGUGGGAUCCAGAGAAGUGUAUGUUUUAGGAUAAAUUGACUUUCCAUUUGUUUUGUUUUUGUUUUUCGAAACAAGGCCUCUUUCUGUCACCCAGGCUGGAGUGCAGUGGUGCAAUCAUAGUUCACUGAAGCCUUGAACUCCUGAGCUCACAAGAUCCUCCUGUGGCAGCCUCCCUCAAAAGUAGCUGGGAUUACAGACCGUUCUACCUCCUGGAUGGUCGUGAUCCUCGGGUGUGGCUGACUUGGAAGACUGAACCUGGGCUGGGUGGCUGAUUUAAGUCCCUUUGGGCUGCAGCAGCUGGUCUUUCAGGAAGGACCUGCCAAGAACAAUCGUCUCCAUGGAUGAGCAGCCACCCGUACCGCCUGGGACAGAGCAAGUCCUCUGCAGCAGGGUGCGUUCACUGUGUAAUUAUAGUCUGAGUUGUUUUGCUGGGUUACUCUAUGUUUAUCACAUAUUUUGACACCUCCUUGACAGCAUGUGGAUGCCCCAAUUUUGUGUUUGCCCUGCUGGUGGUUACAGUAAAUCAAUAAUAUUAGAUAAGAAAAAACAAGUAAA